rnacentral:tRNA from 2 species
GGGGGGUUAGUUUAGUGGAUAAAACAACGACCUUCUAAGUCGUAGUGGAUGGUUCGAGUCCAUCACUCCCUG